rnacentral:lncRNA from 1 species
GGAUGAAAAGAAAGAGGGUGGAAGCACUUGCUACAAUUACUAAUGUGGAAACCUCUGAAACAUCAAGCUGGCAAACAGAUUAUGGCACAAUCUUUAGACAAAGAGACUGCUUUAAAGACAGGAUAAAUUAUUAACUGGAGGCGCUAACGUUGGGAAAACAAAAGGCUCAAGGACACACAUACAGUAGUUCUCAACCUGCAAUAGCAUGGGGGAUGUUUUUCGACUGAUACUGGAAGUGCAGAAUUAGCAUAACGGCAGUCAUUACUCCAGAGUCUCUGAACUCUUUGAUGCUCUUGCUGUGAGCAGAAUGUGCCCCAGCGUGCUAUGUUCCACUCAUUGAGAAAAUGAAGGAUUCGAAGAGACUGCGAAUUAAUGAUCUCCAGUUGGCCAGUUUCACUUGUGUAGGUAACAGCAGGGGAGCACAGUGCUUCAUUUGAGCUGCUCUGAGGCAAUGGUCCAUGCCUUGCCUUGUGGAACCCUGUUGGGAAUCAGAGGUUAUUCAGAUUUUACAGUUUGCAUCUCAUGGAAAGAUCACUUGACACUAAUCAGAAAAACACCCACUGAAUUAAUAAUUAUGCUGUGGGAGACACAAACAAAAUGCACAUGAGAUGGCUCCCAACUUCCCAGCAGUGUGUGCUGCCUAGAGGCUCAGUGGCUACGGUCUUACUGUGGCCAUGUAUGUCAAAGGAAGGCCAGU